GUUCUUCGUAAGAAAUUUAGAGUAUGACUGAGUUAGGCGGACGGGUGGAGUAACGCGUGAGCCAAACCCUAGCCCUUCAGAGGGGAGUAGCGUACUGGAAACGGACGGUAAUACCGCAUAACGUACAAAGGCCGCAUGACCAUUGUACCAAAACUGAGGUGCUGAAGGAUGGGCUCGCGUUGGAUUAGAUAGUUGGUGGGGUAACGGCCUACCAAGUCGACGAUCCAUAGCCGGACUGAGAGGUUGAACGGCCACAUUGGGACUGAGACACGGCCCAGACUCCUACGGGAGGCAGCAGUGGGGAAUAUUGCACAAUGGGGGAAACCCUGAUGCAGCAACGCCGCGUGAAGGAAGACGGUUUUCGGAUUGUAAACUUCUGUUCUUAGUGAAGAUAGUGACGGUAGCUAAGGAGCAAGCCACGGCUAACUACGUGCC
rnacentral:rRNA from 1 species